rnacentral:rRNA from 1 species
AGACUUUGAUUCUGGCUCAGAUUGAACGCUGGCGGCGUGCCUAACACAUGCAAGUCGAGCGAGAAAGGGUCCUUCGGGACCUGAGUAGAGCGGCGCACGGGUGAGUAACGCGUAGGUGAUCUACCCUUUGGAUCGGGAUAACAGUUGGAAACGGCUGCUAAUACCGGAUAUACUCCAUAUUUAGCUUUAUGGGGGAAAGGUGGCCUCUGCAUGCAAGCUACCACCAAAGGAUGAACCUGCGUCUCAUUAGCUUGUUGGUGGGGUAAUGGCCUACCAAGGCGACGAUGAGUAGCUGGUCUGAGAGGAUGAUCAGCCACACUGGGACUGGAACACGGCCCAGACUCCUACGGGAGGCAGCAGUGGGGAAUAUUGCGCAAUGGGCGAAAGCCUGACGCAGCGACGCCGCGUGAGGGAAGAAGGCUCUCGGGUCGUAAACCUCUGUCAGAAGGGAAGAAACCCUUGAGGUCGAAUAGGCUUCUUGGCUGACGGUACCUUCAGAGGAAGCACCGGCUAAUUCCGUGCCAGCAGCCGCGGUAAUACGGAAGGUGCAAGCGUUAAUCGGAAUCACUGGGCGUAAAGCGCGCGUAGGCCGCCCCGG